rnacentral:lncRNA from 1 species
GGGUGGAGACCCCGUCAGGGCAGCCUCUAUUCUGAUGAAGUGGGGUGGAGACCCCGUCAGUGGGGUGGAGACCCCAUCUUGGCAGAUUUUUCUCCUUCAGAACGGGGUGGAGACCCCGUAAAUGGGGUGGAGACCCCAUUUGGGCAGCCCCGAAUGCUUUUGGAACCUUUCUUCCCUUUUCUCCUUCCUUGCUCGCUCGAUCUUUGCGCCGUUUCUUCCACCUUUUAGCUUCGAAUCCACCCUUUAUCCUCCUCCUAGGGAACCUACACAACACCACAAAAACACAUCAAAAACACCACAUACUUGAGGCCAAAUCAUCAAUUUAAGUCGAAACGAAGGCAUUCCAAGUGGAUAUAAAAUCCAC